rnacentral:pre_miRNA from 1 species
CGCUUUUCAAAUAGACUUGCUGAAAAGUAGAGAAAAUGAGCGGUUUUGAAAAUCCAGUGACAACUUGGCAGUAAGAUGAUUUAGUACCCUUAAUAAAACUUGU